UACAGAGGUCUCAAGCGUUGUUCGGAUUCAUUGGGCGUAAAGGGUGCGUAGGCGGCGCGGUAAGUCGGGUGUGAAAUUUCGAGGCUUAACUUCGAAACUGCAUUCGAUACUGCCGUGCUAGAGGACUGGAGAGGAGACUGGAAUUUACGAUGUAGCGGUGAAAUGCGUAGAUAUCGUAAGGAAGACCAGUGGCGAAGGCGGGUCUCUGGACAGUUCCUGACGCUGAGGCACGAAGGCCAGGGGAGCAAACGGG
rnacentral:rRNA from 1 species